rnacentral:rRNA from 1 species
GACGAACGCUGGCGGCGUGCCUAAUACAUGCAAGUCGAGCGAAGUUUUUCUGGUGCUUGCACUAGAAAAACUUAGCGGCGAACGGGUGAGUAACACGUAAAGAACCUGCCUCAUAGACUGGGACAACUAUUGGAAACGAUAGCUAAUACCGGAUAACAGUAUUUCUCGCAUGAGAGAUAUUUAAAAGUUGGUUAUGCUAACACUAUGAGAUGGCUUUGCGGUGCAUUAGCUAGUUGGUGGGGUAAAGGCCCACCAAGGCGACGAUGCAUAGCCGACCUGAGAGGGUGAUCGGCCACACUGGGACUGAGACACGGCCCAGACUCCUACGGGAGGCAGCAGUAGGGAAUCUUCCGCAAUGGGUGAAAGCCUGACGGAGCAACGCCGCGUGAGUGAAGAAGGAUUUCGGUUCGUAAAGCUCUGUUGUUAGGGAAGAAUGGAUAUGUAGUAACUAUACAUGUAAGAGACGGUACCUAACCAGAAAGCCACGGCUAACUACGUG